rnacentral:rRNA from 1 species
AGUGAACGCUGGCGGUAGGCCUAACACAUGCAAGUCGAACGGCAGCACAGUAAGAGCUUGCUCUUACGGGUGGCGAGUGGCGGACGGGUGAGGAAUACAUCGGAAUCUACUUUUUCGUGGGGGAUAACGUAGGGAAACUUACGCUAAUACCGCAUACGACCUACGGGUGAAAGCAGGGGAUCUUCGGACCUUGCGCGAUUGAAUGAGCCGAUGUCGGAUUAGCUAGUUGGCGGGGUAAAGGCCCACCAAGGCGACGAUCCGUAGCUGGUCUGAGAGGAUGAUCAGCCACACUGGAGCUGAGACACGGUCCAGACUCCUACGGGAGGCAGCAGUGGGGAAUAUUGGACAAUGGGCGCAAGCCUGAUCCAGCCAUACCGCGUGGGUGAAGAAGGCCUUCGGGUUGUAAAGCCCUUUUGUUGGGAAAGAAGAGCAGCAGGUUAAUACCCCGCUGUUCUGACGGUACCCAAAGAAUAAGCACCGGCUAACUUCGUG